ensembl:lncRNA
CCAAUAUGUGUAAAGGUUCAAAGAAAGUUAUAUAUAAAAGGGAAUAUAUAUAAACUCUAUAAGCAAAGACGAUGGAUAAUUUGGUUCCAUUUUAAUUUAAUCCAAAAUUAAUCGAUAAAAGUACUAUUUAAUAUAUAUUUCCAUGGAGCUCUCAAAAACCUUAUUUCAGUGGCUUUAAGCCAAUGAUUAUUUUACAUGCAUUAAAAUAUACUGCCAACAAUUGGCUGUUCAUUGAAAUAAUAUCUAAUUACUGCAGUAGGUAGGGGAAAUAAUAGAAUCCAUAAUUGUGGCCUAAAAAACUGCAGUUUAAAGCAUGCAUGCUGCUGUUAAGAUUUAUGAUCACACUAAUCAAGUUGAUGUCAGGGUUUAUUUCAUAAUGGGAAUUUUAUGAUUCAGGAAAACAACUCUGAUGGCUGAGAACAAGUAAAAUGGAUUGUUUGAAGUGCUGUCCCAGAGAACGGUGUGAUCAUGUGUUUCCCAGGGAUCUUCCAUUUAUUUUCCUCACAGCUCCUUGCAUUCUAGUGUGAUUGAUACUGUGGGAAAUUCUUGAUUUUUCUGGUGUGAUUAUUAUAACAGGCAAUUCUUAGAGGAAGGGGAAUGCAGAGUACUGAUAAUUAGAAUUAAUCAAACUAUGAAAGGAUUCAUUACUAGCUCUUGUUUCAUCUACAUUGCACCAUUGUGUUCACUGUGUCCUAAAUUAAUUUACAGAGACUCUCUAGAGGUGAUGACACAGAGAGGUCAAUGCCAUUGAAAGAACCUUCGGUACUCACAAUUCCCAAGGGAAGGAGACAUGCCAUAUUAAGUAGGUCUACGUGGGGAAGGCCCACUGGUUGGUUAGGAGGCAGAAGAAUGACAAAGUGUGGCCAGAGCCUUACUUCCUGGAAAGGAAUGGACAGGACAGGCAAGUCUGAGUACGUUUAGGACUGGACAGUUCAAAUUAUUUCAGCAGGCUCUGGGCUACAGGGGUGGUGUCCAGGUACCUGGCACCCAGUCCUGGGGUGAUUUACGGCAGGGAAGUACUGACUAGGUACAUGAGAGUUAAAUGAAGGAGGUGGUAGGGCUGUGUGGUAGACUGUGUGGGCUUUCAAUUGGUUGGUUUGCAUUUGAAAGUUGUGCUGACCUAAGAAUCAUCUUCUCUCCUGGAAUUAGGUACCUCUGAGAGGGAAAAUCUCUCCCCAGCCAGCAAGGUACCAAGAUGUCAAAGCAUUAUAAAAUACACAAAACAGAAAUACAUGAUUAAUACAACCAUCCCUAAAGCUUUAUCUCUACUCUUCUUGGUCUGUUUAAAUUUCAAGAGGAAAAGACUGGUCAAAGGAGGAACUUGUGAAACUGAAAUGAGGAAAAAUCAAGGUUUUAUUGGGUGUCCUAUAUAAAAAGAUUGUCUUUGCAUUGGACUCUGUUGUGAAUGUCUUGCCCACAUUUACAAAAACAUUAGAGAACUGGUUACGUGUAUACUGAACAUCACUCAGAUGUGUGAUACUCUUUGCAAGGGGCUUCCCAGGUGCUAUGUAGUAAAGAAUCAACCUGCCAAUGCAGGAGAUGCAGCUUGACCCCUCCGUCAAGAAGAUCCACUGGAGGAGGAAAUGUCAACCCACUCCAGUAUCUUUGCCUGGAAAAUCCUAUUGACAGAGGAGACGGGCAGGCAACAGUCCAUGGGAUCACUAGGAGCUGGACACGACUGAGCGCACCUGCAAAGGUGCUGUGGGUUUACAUGCAAAACACUACUUGAUAAAUCUUCUGUACAAUCUUCUUCCCCUUCAGAAACACAGCCACAAACACACACACACACACACACACACACACACACACACACACACACGUGUAUGCUAGAAGUAAGAAGAAUUCAGAAAUCCGAAAUGUAAAUAAGGCCUAGAUUUAAUAACUGAAAAUAGGAAGAAUUAACUCUAGAUUAUUUUCCUAAGACCCUGGACUCUGCAGUUGAGGGACUGAAUUCACAUCUUCACAUUUCAUGAUCUAAAUAUCUAUUGUGUUUUCCUUUCUUUUUCUCUUCCUACCUACCUCUUUUGUUUUCUAUCUCCUUUUAACAAACUCAGUUGAGUUCAAAUUGUACAGUAAGCUGGUUAAGCUUACAAAGAUGAAAAGACAUCAGUAAAAGAGCUAAGGUACUAGUAGAAAAACACUGUUGAAGCAUGAAUGUUUACUGGACACUCUAGGAGCUAUUUUAAGAACAGUAUUUGAAAGAGAAAACUGGAGCAGGGAGACCUAAGUGUGUUGAGGAGUCAACAAGACACUCAGAGGAAGAACCUCAAGCUGAGAAGGGGCUGUCAAUGGGAAAAAAAUUGCACAACCUAAAAGUUGAGGAUUCUGUUUUAUUUGGCAGACUUUCCUGAGCUUCAAGCCCAGGAAACAGCCUCUCAGAGAGUUCUGAGGGACUGCUCCUAAGAGGUAAAGGAGGAGGCAGGAUAAUAUAAAGGAUAUUUUGCAACAAAGACCAGGUAUUCAGAACACCAGAAGUUACUGUUAAUUAAUGAAAAUCAGACACAUCAGGUUAAGGCAUUUAGUGCUUUUCUAAGUACGGGAAGAUGCAAGAGUCUGGGCUCACUGAAACCAUCCCUUUGAUAUGCACCUCAGCUACUCAGGGCAAGUGUUCUGUGCUAUCUCAUGCCCAGUCUCUUCAGGGUGCACAGUUGGGGCGGCUGUGAUGUGAUGGUCUGAUGGCUGCAACAGCCUUUGUUUAUUGAUAUGGUAAGCAGCGUUUUUCAUUCACAGGACCAACAGUUGAAAGGUAAACAAAGGAAGCAGACAUUCUAAGAACACUGAGACUAUGUGCUCAGUGGUAAAAGGAAAUCCGGUUGCUUUAGGGAACUGGAGGUAGUUGAAACUGACUGAAGGCUAGAGAGUGAAGGCAAGUGGAAAAUGUAGAUCAUGAAAGAUCAUGCUUUAUGUGAGGCUAUAAAGUUUAGGUUUCAUCCCCUCCAUUCAUAAAUAUCAGUUGAGACCUAGUCUCAGACAACACUUCAAAUAUUGAAAAUAUGGCAGUAAACAGGACAUCCAGUCUUCACAUUAUAGUGCAAACACAUACAAAAAUGUACAAAAUUGUGUCAGAUGGUGACACCUGUAAGAGAAAGCAUGGAGGUACGACUGCUGUUUUAGACAGGGUAAUCAAGGGAACUCUCCAAAGCACAAAUCUUUAAACAAGGGUUUAAUGAGGAAGUAGUCUUUAAGAGACCCGAAGUGAGAGGAAAGCCAUAGGAAUGCUCUAGGUAGAGGCAGGGAUGAGGCUGGGAUACUUGGGACAACAAGGAAAGACCACAAGGCAUGAGGUGUGAGGAAAGGACUGGGUGGUGGGAGGAAAGGCUGGAGAAGUGGGUAGGUCCCUCCUAUGUAACAAUCUAGGUGAGAAGUGAAACUGAAAUCCUUUCUGUGCUGGAAAGGUUUUGACAGUUACGAAGAGUAACAUACUACGAUUUAUGUUUGAAAAAGAGAGGCUUGGUGUUUUAUAUUUUACUUGGAUGGUAGUUUCACAAAUACAUAUAUUUAUCUAAACUCAUCAAAAAUGAUACAGUAUCUAUGUGUUUUAUCAUAUGUGAAUUAUGCCUCAAAAAUAUGUUUAAAAGAUCACCUGUGGAGACUCACGUAGAGCUAGGUAGUGGAGGCAGAAGCUGGGUGGCCAGACCUUUUCCAUGGCGUCAGUUGACAGUCACUGAAAGCUGGUGAGCAGCAGCAUCAGACGUGUGAUUUUGAAACACAACUUGACACUCAUCUGUGGGAUGGACUGGGGAACCUGAGAACAGGAAACCUGGUUAGAAGCGCACCGUCGCUGUAGCCCAGGCAGGACAUGAUGAGGGCCAGGGUGCAGACGGCAAGGGAAUCAUUAACGGUCAGGAGGUAGAACUGCCAUAAUUUGACCAGCUGCAUAAAGGGACUAAGAGGGAAGAGACUCUAACACGAAUGAUUCUCAUGUUUCCGACUUUGGAGCUCAAGGAGAAUAUGAUACAUUCAUUGAGAUAGAAGUUGUGAAAGAAGGAAAUUAUUUUGGCUACAGGGUGGGUGUGGUGCCAUUCCAUUGGUACAUGUUUAAUUUGGGGAUGUUUGUGUAACACACAAGUUGAAAGGACCAGCAUGCAGUUAUAAAUCGAGGUCUAAGAACUGCCAGUGGCCUGGCUUAUAAAUUCAAAUGUGUGAGUUGUUAUUGAAUGAAUAGUGGUUAAAACUCUGAGGAUGGAUAUGAAUGCCCUGAGAGAAUCCUGAAUCACAGACUACAGACUUCAAAACGUGAAAGUGAAUUUCUAGUGUGAAAGGAUGAUUUACUUCUCCAUAGCCCAUAUCAUUUAAACGAGUCUUUACCAAGCACAUAUGUGCUUGGUGGUAAGCUAGGCAUUGUGGCUGAUAAAACAACUGAAAUUCACAUAGGAUUUUUCUUUUAAUGGAGACAAAUGCAUAAAAGUUACUAGAAUCAUCAAAUCCUUUAAAAUAUCAAAUCUUCAACUCAUUUUAUAGAGGAAUCACCAUUUACUGAAUGCAAGUAUUUGCCGGGAGUGAGGUGAAUUUCAGUUAUCCAGGUGGGUGAGACCUAAACGCAAGGACCAAUGUAAGAGCAGAGACUUUUCUCUGGCUAGCAGCAGAAGAGGAAAUCAGAGAGAUGAGAUCCAUCUGGCCUGGAAAACUGCAAACACCCCUCUCUUGAACUGCCCAUGGGGACCACACGGCAAGGAACUUCAGGCAGCUUCCAGUUGCUGAGGACAGUUCCUGCCCAAAAAGCUAGCAGGAAAAGGAGGACCUCAUUGCUACCUCUGUAAGGAAAUAAAUUCUGUCCAUAGCCUGUGAGCUUUGAAGAAGAUCUUGAGUGCCAGAUGAAAACUGUAGUCCUUGGCCAACACAGUCCUGUGAAACCCUUAGCAGAGAGGCCAACCCCUCAGUGCCUGGAUUUCUGAUCUACAGAAACUGGAGGGUAAAAAAUGGGUGUUAAAUUGGUGGCAAUGUGUUAUACAGCAGAACAUUAAUACAUGCAUAUACCCAAUAAUUCUCCAUGCUGAGGCUCCAAGAGUUAAAGCAACACACCCUAGCUCCCACUGCUGGCCAGCAGAGCAGCAAAGACUGAAACCCAGGGGGUGUGCCUGACUCUCCCCCACCCUUCCCACAGUCCUUGCAGAGAAACACUGCAGUAAGGUAAGCUGGUACCCGGAGCAGAACCGACGCUCAGCAUCCUCAUCGUAAAGCUCUGUUUUCACCUGAGCUCUGCAACCUCUGCUCUGAGCUACAACAUGGAGCCGGCCUCCUCUUCAGCACCCGUCUGACUUGAGGGAGAGGAAUAAACACUCUUCUCUUGUACCAAUUAAUCUUUGACCACUGAGACUGCCUAACAGAGGUAGGAAGGGUGAAACUGACUCUUGUUUUUGUAGGACUGAGCUGAGACCCCUGAUUUAUUUCACCUUGUUUGUGAAACAGCAGCUAAUGACUCUGGUUCACUACCCACCUGGACUAAAUUCAGGAGAAUCACAGGAGAGAACAGUCGGGUCCAGAGCCAGCGCACUUCUGUCUUGGCUGUAAUUCAUCUUCCCGCAGGUUCAAAAGGCUUGGGGAGCCAGAGAAACAUUUACUGUGCUCUUAUUAAAAGGUGUUAAUAUCUUAAUGACUGUGCAUGAACAGGUUUAUAUUUCAGUGCUUCCUAUACCCCAGAUAAACCCGAUAAGUACUUUCAUCAUGACAAUAACAAUACAAUACUAAGACUCUGGUCCCCAAAUUCCUGAUCCAUAAGGAAUGAAUACAGCAACACCUUAUGGAAAUAUUGUAAAUAUCAUACAUGAUAAUGGGCAUGAAAGUGCACUAAAAACUAGAGUGAGAGUAGGCUCAAAGCAGUUGUCUAUAAAAAGCAAAAAAAAAAAAAAAAUCUAAGUAUUUGAAACUGUAAGAAUGUAGAAACAUGGAAGAUGAAUGAUCAGAAGUUUAUUCUGUUUCUGUGCAUUAAAUCUCUCUAUCUCUUUUUUUCCACUGAAAUGAGAUGUUCCAUUUUAACGUCUUUAAUCCAUCCUAACAUCACCUGGAGAAACUCUCAGUUUGCAUGUUCUAGUACUUUUGGCCACCUGAUAUGAAGAGCCAAGUUAUUGGAAAAGAACCUGAUGCUGGGAAAGACUGAAGCAAAAGGAGAAGAGGGUAGCAGAGGAUGAGAUGGUUAGAUAGCAUCACUGACUCAGUGGACUUGAAUUUGAGCAAACUCCGGAAGAUACUGGAGGACAGGGAAGCCUGGAGUGCUGCAGUCCAUGGGGUCUCAAAGAGUCAGACAGAACUUGGCCACUGAACAACAAAUUCUCAAUUACAUCCAGUCCCAUGCUCCUAAUCUCUUACAGAAAAAGGUCGUGUCAAUUACAGCUGCUGAGCCUGCACCUUUCUUACAGCUGAAUUGUCCUGCCUGCUAUGAAUGGAAUUAUAUUACUACCAGCUCUAUCAGAGCCAUACACUAGAGUACAGAAAACUGCCAAAUGAGAGGCUGAAAUUGGUAGGGAAAAGAAAUGGAAUUUUUCAGCUCCUUAAAAGGGAAUUAUCCUCAAUGGAGAGUGAGAAAGAAAGAAGAAAAAUUACAAAGGGAGUAUUACAGAGUUACUUACAACACAUUUUUAUGCAAUGGACAACAGCAAGAAAUUUGUCAGCACUGAGCAGCAUUACGGUUUGCCAGAGCUAUAAAAAGGUUAUGCAAACAGUAACCCAAAAGGAAUAGAAAUACAUUAGAAUUUAUAGGCCUAAAUUGCUCACUAUGUAAAUGAAGCCUUCAAAUAUAUAUGGUUUAUGGAAAUUAAUGUCUUAUAUUUAUUACCCAGCUCCAAGAUUAAAAUUGGAACCACACUGAUUAGGUAACAUUACAAAUCAAUUCCCAUAGAGAGAAAUAAUAAUAAUACAUCAAAGUACAAAUGCUCUGAUUAAACAAGUUGAUAUAUAAGAAGAAAAAAAUAUGGGUGCUUUUCUUGACUGCUGUUUCUGAAUGCUAGUCAGUUUUCUCCCCAUUCUUCCCAAAACAAUGGGCUGAAAGCAAACAGACAAGUUGGUUAUGACCCUUGCUAUUUCAGUUAACACACAAGAAGGAAAGGAGAGCGAGAAAGAGCUGGGCUCUUUUCCUGCAAGUUAAAUAUCAAGUCAUGUGAAGCCUGUAUUGCUAAAUGUGGCAACACUUCAAGUGCUACAAUCAAUGUAGCAUUCAGACAAAGAGAAGACUGGGAAGCAACAGUGUAUUACUGGACCAUUCUUUACUUAAGUCUCUCCAAUUCCGUUAGCCCUUCCAGACAGGGCAGGAGAGUUAUAAAGUAUUGAUAGAAGGGACAAUAUAAAAGGAUUGACACAUUCAACAUUUAAUUCAGUCAGAUACGCUAAUGACCUGUGAAAACUAUUAGAAUCCAGGUCAUCCAAAAGCAUUCGAACAGUUUAUUCUUCAGUAGGGGAAAAAAACGAUUUUAUUUUGAAAAUGACAGAAUGAAAGAAAAUUUAAAUCUCAUUGCACUUCACGGUGCCAUGGGAGAAAGGAGAAAUUUCUAAAAAUGUGUUUUCAAGGCUUUCCAUGGGAGGCUGUGCUGUGCUGUGCUUAGCCACUCAGUCUUGUCCAACUCUUUGCAACCAUAGAAGGAUGGCCAGAAGCUCCUCUGUCCACAGGGAUUCUCCAGACAAGAAUGCUGGAGUCAGUUGCCAUGCCUCCUCCAAAGGAUCUUCCCAGUCCAGGGAUCAAACCCAGAUCUUCCUCAUUGCAGGUGGAUUGUUUACCAUCUGAGCUACCAGGGAAGUCCAUGAAAACUGGAGUGGGUAGCUUAUCCCUUUGUCCAGAGGAACUUCCUGACCCAGGAAUCGAACUGGGGUCUCCAGCAUUGCAGGCAGAUUUUUUUACCAGCUGAGCUACCCAGGAAGCCCCGUGAGAGGCUACGUGAGCACAAUGCUUGUAGAAGUACUAUUUAUCUAAAUGAUUUGGGACUAGGUUUCCUUUUAUGAAUAGGUAAACUGUCCCUGUUAGAGAAAGGACCAAUAGACAAAACACAUGUUAAAACAGACAAAUAUUUUAAUUGACAAUAGUGAUUUUCUUUAUCAUUUUGCUUCUGCUCAGAUCUACCCCCAAUAUCUCAUUUAUAAAACAAAUCAUAGUUGCUCACAAGCUAGUGGUUGGAGAAGUUUUUCCACUUCAUUAAAGAAGGAUGUGGGCUUCCCUGUGGCUCAGGCAGUAAAGAAUAUGCCUUCAAUGCAGGAGACCCAGGUUCAAUCCCUGGGUUGAGAAGAUCCUCUGGAGAAGGGAAUGGCCUGGAGAAUUCUAGGGACAGAGGAGCUUGGUGAGCUACAGUGCAUGGCAUCACAAAGAGUCGGACACAACUGAGAGAUUCAUAUAUAUAUAGAGAGAGAGCAAU